rnacentral:rRNA from 1 species
GACGAACGCUGGCGGCGUGCUUAACACAUGCGAGUCGAACGGAAAGGACCUGCUUUUGUGGGGUGCUCGAGUGGCGCACGGGUGCGUAACACGUGAGUAACCUGCCCUUGACUUUGGGAUAACUUCAGGAAACUGGGGCUAAUACCGGAUCGGAGCUCCUGCUGCAUGGUGGGGGUUGGAAAGUUUCGGCGGUUGGGGAUGGACUCGCGGCUUAUCAGCUUGUUGGUGGGGUGGUGGCUUACCAAGGCUUUGACGGGUAGGGGGCCGGGGAGGAUGACCGGGCACAUGGGAGAUGAGCGAAGGGCCAAACUCCUACGGGAGGCAGGAGUGAGGAAUAUGGGUCACUGGGAGGGAGCCUGAACCAGCCAAGUAGCGUGCAGGAUGCCGGCCCUAUGGGUUGUAAACUGCUGUUAGGAGGGGAUAAAGUGAGGGACGUGGCCGUCAUUGAAGGUACCGAAUGAAUAAGGACCGGCUAAUUCCGUG